UACGUAGGGGCCAAGCGUUGUCCGGAUUUAUUGGGCGUAAAGAGCUCGUAGGCGGUUGGGUAAGUCGGGUGUGAAAACUCCAGGCUCAACUUGGAGAUGCCACCCGAUACUGCUCUGACUUGAGUUCGGUAGGGGAGUGGGGAAUUCCUGGUGUAGCGGUGAAAUGCGCAGAUAUCAGGAGGAACACCGGUGGCGAAGGCGGCACUCUGGGCCGGUACUGACGCUGAGGAGCGAAAGCGUGGGUAGCAAACAGG
rnacentral:rRNA from 1 species